AUACGUAGGGGGCGAGCGUUGUCCGGAAUGAUUGGGCGUAAAGGGCGCGUAGGCGGCGCGGUAAGUCUGGAGUGAAAGUCCUGCUUUCAAUGUGGGAAUUGCUUUGGAUACUGCCGCGCUUGAGUGCAGGAGAGGUUAUCGGAAUUCCCGGUGUAGCGGUGAAAUGCGUAGAGAUCGGGAGGAACACCAGUGGCGAAGGCGGGUAACUGGACUGCAACUGACGCUGAGGCGCGAAAGUGUGGGGAGCAAACAGGAUUAGAUACCCUGGUAGUCCACACUGUAAACGAUGAAUGCUAGGUGUAAGAGGUAUCGACCCCUUUUGUGCCGGAGUCAACACAAUAAGCAUUCCGCCUGGGGAGUACGGCCGCAAGGUUGAAACUCAAAGGAAUUGACGGGG
rnacentral:rRNA from 1 species